AUUUCUUCCAAUUGUGAUUUGAUAAGUUGUGAUUGCAAUUCAAUUAUCUAUUUUAUUCAUAAUUGAUUCUUGUAUGUUUAUUAAGGAUGCAUACUUAGUUUUCAUGCAUGAAUUAGAUGCUAGAAUAUAAAUGAGUUUCAACUAAUCGUUACAAGUUUAUAUUCAUGAGUAGUGAAGGUUGUUUAUCACAAUCGCGUUAAUUGAAUUCUUGGCAAUUGUAUCAUGCAUUCAUAGUUAUAAUUGCCUCGUCAACACUUAUGAUUUUCAUUGAACAUAAUGAUCUCUGAUUGUAUCUCUAUUAUGCAUUCAUAUAGGGGACUUUUAGAGAAUGAUUUGGGUUGUCGCAUGCAUUCAUCCAAUUCAAUGAGUAAAGGAAAAUAUGAGGGUUAAUUUAUGCAUCACGGUUAAUCUGGGGUGUUGAGCAUCAUAGUUUAUUGAAAAGCAAUUGGAAAUCGAUUCAUGUACAAGUGUGUCAUGUGUGAAGACCAGACCUCUAACUAAUCCAUCCAUCAUCGUAUUCCUCAAAUUUGUCUUACAAUCUGUCUAAUUUUAUAAUUUGUUUGUUUGUUUCGAAUUCGUCAGAACCAAAAUCCCCCUUUUACUUUGUUGUUUCAAAGUGUUAAAUUUCUAUUUCGUUAGUGUUUUUGAGUGUUUUGAUUCAAGUCAAAACCUAAAUUUCGUCCAAAGUUGUGUUAGAGUCAAAUCUGCCCAGUAAGUGUUUUUAGGCAAUUUUGAGUGUUUUUAAGUUGUUUUGCGUCUUUAGAAUCUGUUUUGAGUCAUUUGAGUCUAUUCAAACAUUUUUAACUUUGUUUUUAUGUCUUUGAGUAAGUUUAGAGGUUUUAGCAAGUCCUCCUAAUCCCCGGUUUAGAACGAUCCCUACUUGCAUUUAUACUACAAUUUGACAACAAGAGGGUUUAAUUUGAGUGCUUAACUUUCAUCGCAUCAAAGUUUAGUAAGUGUUUUUAG
rnacentral:lncRNA from 1 species